AGGCAACAUUAUAUCUCUCUCACAGACAUAAAUCUAGAUAGAUACCGCAUGUGUAUAUGUACUUCGCAUGCCAUAUCGCAUUCCCAAACGACGAGCAAUGCUCGUCUUUCGAAAGUCUUUUCUUUAGUCUGCUAUCGGAAUCGGACAUCAAUCGGAAUUUCAAAAAUACCUAAAAGUGCC